AUAUGUCAUGAUUAAGCAUACAUUUAACCCACGUUCAUCGUAGAAGUUAAAAUAAAGAAUUAGGAGAAUGCAAAGCUUAGGGCUAACUUCAUCUGGCCUCGGAGUGUAGUGGUGCCCAGUAUCUAUAAAUAAGAUAUCUUAGGCUCAUCUCACAUAUACCUGGGAUUUGGAAUCUAACUAUUAGGACAGAACGUGGACUGAAGGCUCAAACUUUUGCCGUUUUCUGAAACUAACAUUUUAUAUUUAAAAAAUCAUUGGACAGGACUGAAGGCUCAAACUUUUGCCGUUUUCUGAAACUAACAUUUUAUAUUUAAAAAAUCAUAGGAAAAGGCGGCAAAUUAGUUAUUUCUUGUAAUAUGAAAGUCAAAUCAUAAAAAGCAUGAUGUAGAAUAAGUUGGAACAAAAAAGAAAAAGAAAAAGAAAAGGAACAAGUUGGAAAAGCAGAGAAACUAGUACAAGAGAAAUAACUUUUGGGCUUAAAUUCCCAUAUUUAACUGGGGUGGGAUCAAUUUGAAGAGCUUAGUAAGGUUUAAGCUUGGCUUAUUUGAUGAAGUUCAACCAUGUUUGUACUUAUCUAAGGAUCCACCCUCUAAGGGAAAGGCAAAAGUGAUUUUUUUAAUUUUGUUGCGUGCUUAUAGUCAUUAUUGUAUCUGUCCCUCACGUUCUCUUUGAUGAAUCUUCAAUGCAG
rnacentral:lncRNA from 1 species